rnacentral:rRNA from 1 species
AUUGAACGCUGGCGGCAGGCCUAACACAUGCAAGUCGAACGAGUGGCGGACGGGUGAGUAAUGUCUGGGAAACUGCCCGAUGGAGGGGGAUAACUACUGGAAAAGGUAGCUAAUACCGCAUACCAUCGGAUGUGCCCAGGUGGGAUUAGCUAGUCGGUGGGGUAACGGCUAACCUAGGCGCCGAUCCCUAGCCGGUCUGAGAGGCGGACCAGCCACACUGGGACUGAGAAACGGUCCAGACUCCUACGGGAGGCAGCAGUGGGGAAUAUUGCACAAUGGGCGCAAGCCUGAUGCAGCAAUGCCGCGUGUAUGAAGAAGGCCUUCGGGUUGUAAAGUACUUUCAGCGGGGAGGCGUUACCCGCAGAAGAAGCACCGGCUAACUCCGUGCCAGCCGCUGCGGUAAUAC